UACGUAGGGGGCAAGCGUUGUCCGGAAUCAUUGGGCGUAAAGCGCGCGUAGGCGGUCCGAUAAGUCGGCUGUGAAAGUCAGGGGCUCAACCCUUGAAAGCCGGCCGAUACUGUCGGACUAGAGUCCGGAAGAGGCAAGUGGAAUUCCCGGUGUAGCGGUGAAAUGCGCAGAUAUCGGGAGGAACACCAAUGGCGAAGGCAGCUUGCUGGGACGGUACUGACGCUGAGGCGGCGAAAGCGUGGGGAGCAAACAGG
rnacentral:rRNA from 1 species